GCGAACGGGAUUAGAUACCCUGGUAGUCCACGCCGUAAACGAUGUCGACUUGGAGGUUGUUCCCUUGAGGAGUGGCUUCCGGAGCUAACGCGUUAAGUCGACCGCCUGGGGAGUACGGCCGCAAGGUUAAAACUCAAAUGAAUUGACGGGGGCCCGCACAAGCGGUGGAGCAUGUGGUUUAAUUCGAUGCAACGCGAAGAACCUUACCUACUCUUGACAUCCAGAGAACUUAGCAGAGAUGCUUUGGUGCCUUCGGGAACUCUGAGACAGGUGCUGCAUGGCUGUCGUCAGCUCGUGUUGUGAAAUGUUGGGUUAAGUCCCGCAACGAGCGCAACCCUUAUCCUUUGUUGCCAGCGGUUAGGCCGGGAACUCAAAGGAGACUGCCAGUGAUAAACUGGAGGAAGGUGGGGAUGACGUCAAGUCAUCAUGGCCCUUACGAGUAGGGCUACACACGUGCUACAAUGGCGCAUACAAAGAGAAGCGACCUCGCGAGAGCAAGCGGACCUCAUAAAGUGCGUCGUAGUCCGGAUUGGAGUCUGCAACUCGACUCCAUGAAGUCGGAAUCGCUAGUAAUCGUAGAUCAGAAUGCUACGGUGAAUACGUUCCCGGGCCUUGUACACACCGCCCGUCACACCAUGGGAGUGGGUUGCAAAAGAAGUAGGUAGCUUAACCUUCGGGAGGGCGCUUACCACUUUGUGAUUCAUGACUG
rnacentral:rRNA from 1 species